rnacentral:rRNA from 1 species
GGUUUUGCGCUGGCUCCAGAUUGAACGCUGGCGGGAUGCUUUACAUGCAAGUCGAACGGCAGCACGGACUUCAGUCUGGUGGCGAGAGCGAACAGGUGAAUAAUGCCAUCCCGGAACAUUGCUAAAGUAGCGGGGAGUAACUACGCGAAAGCGUAGCUAAUACCGCAUACGCCCUUCGGGGAAAGCGGGGACCUUCGGGCCUCGCACUAUUAGAGCGGCCGAUAUCGGAUUGGCUAGUUGGUGGGGGUAACGGCUCACCAAGGCGACGAUCCGUAGCUGGUUUGAGAGGACGACCAGCCACACUGGGACUGAGACACGGCCCAGACUCCUACGGGAGGCAGCAGUGGGGAAUUUUGGACAAUGGGGGAAACCCUGAUCCAGCCAUCCCGCGUGUGCGAUGAAGGCCUUCGGGUUGUAAAGCCUUUUGGCAGAAAGAAACGGCACGGGAUAAUACCCCGUGCAACUGACAGUACCUGCGAAUAAGCACCGGCUAACUACGUGCCAGCAGCCGCGGUAAUACGUAGGGUACGAAGCGUUAAUCAGAUUACUGGGCGUAAAAGCGUGCGCAGGCGGUUCCGGAAAGAAAGAUGUGAAAUCCCAGAGCUUAACUUUGGAACUGCAUUUUUAACUACCGAGCUAGAGUGUGUCAGAGGGAGGUGGAAUUCCGCGUGUAGCAGUGAAAUGCGUAGAUAUGCGGAGGAACACCGAUGGCGAGGCAGCCUCCUGGGAUAACACUGACGCUCAUGCACGAAAGCGUGGGGAGCAAACAGGAUUAGAUACCUAGUAGUCCACGCCCUAAACGAUGUCAACUAGCUGUUGGGGCCUUCCGGGCCUUGGUAGCGCAGCUAACGCGUGAAGUUGACCGCCUGGGGAAAUACGGUCACCGAAUUAAAACUCAAAGGAAUUGACGGGGACCCGCACAAGCGGUGGAUGAUGUGGAUUAAUUCGAUGCAACGCGAAAAACCUUACCUACCCUUGACAUGUCUGGAAUCCCGAAGGGUUGGGAACUCGCAAAGAGAACCGGAACACAGGUGCUGCAUGGCUGUCGUCGGCUCGUGCCGUGAGAUGUUGGGUUAAGUCCCACCAACGAGCGCAAUACUUGUCGUGGAUUGCUACGAAAGGGCACUCUAAUGAGACUGCCGGUGACAAACCGGAGGAAGGUGGGGAUGACGUCAAGUCCUCAUGGCCCUUAUGGGUAGGGCUUCACACGUCAUACAAUGGUCGGGACAGAGGGUCGCCAACCCGCGAGGGGGAGCCAAUCCCGAAACCCGAUCGUAGUCCGGAUCGCAGUCUGCAACUCGACUGCGUGAAGUCGGAAUCGCUAGUAAUCGCGGAUCAGCAUGUCGCGGAGAGUGGGCCACGUUCCCGGGUCUUGUACACACCGCCCGUCACACCAUGGGAGUGGGUUUUACCAGAAGUAGUUAGCCUAACCGUAAGGAGGGCGAUUACCACGGUAGGAUUCAUGACUGGGGUGAAGUCGUAACAAGGUAACU